rnacentral:rRNA from 1 species
AUACAGAGGGUGCGAGCGUUACUCGGAAUUACUGGGCGUAAAGCGCGCGUAGGCGGCUACUUAAGUCAGAUGUGAAAUCCCCGGGCUCAACCUGGGAACUGCAUCUGAUACUGGGUAGCUAGAGUUUAGGAGAGGGAAGUAGAAUUUCAGGUGUAGCGGUGAAAUGCAUAGAGAUCUGAAGGAAUACCAGUGGCGAAGGCGGCUUCCUGGCCUAAAACUGACGCUGAGGUGCGAAAGCGUGGGUAGAAAACGGGAUUAGAAACCCUAGUAGUCC